CCUACGGGAGGCUGCAGUGGGGGAUAUUGGACAAUGGGGGAAACCCUGAUCCAGCGACGCCGCGUGAGUGAAGAAGUAUCUCGGUAUGUAAAGCUCUGUCAGCAGGGAAGUAAGAAAUGACGGUACUUGACCAAGAAGCACAGGCUAACUACGUGCCAGCAGCCGCGGUAAUACGUAGGGGGCAAGCGUUAUCCGGAAUUACUGGGUGUAAGGGGAGCGUGGACGGUGAGGGAAGUCGGGAGUGAAAGGGGGGGGCCCAACCCCCGAACUGCUCUGGAAACUGUGUAACUUGAGUGCAGGAGAGGUAAGCGGAAUUCCUAGUGUAGCGGUGAAAUGCGUAGAUAUUAGGAGGAACACCAGUGGCGAAGGCGGCUUACUGGACUGUAACUGACGUUGAGGCUCGAAAGCGUGGGGAGCAAACAGGAUUAGAUACCCCAGUAGUC
rnacentral:rRNA from 1 species